AUGAGGCUCCUUGCUCAGCUUCUGGGGCUGCUAAUGCUCUGGGUCCCUGGAUCCAGUGGGGAUAUUGUGAUGACCCAGACUCCACUCUCCUCACCUGUCACCCUUGGACAGCCGGCCUCCAUCUCCUGCAGGUCUAGUCAAAGCCUCGUACACAGUGAUGGAAACACCUACUUGAGUUGGCUUCAGCAGAGGCCAGGCCAGCCUCCAAGACUCCUAAUUUAUAAGAUUUCUAACCGGUUCUCUGGGGUCCCAGACAGAUUCAGUGGCAGUGGGGCAGGGACAGAUUUCACACUGAAAAUCAGCAGGGUGGAAGCUGAGGAUGUCGGGGUUUAUUACUGCAUGCAAGCUACACAAUUUCCU